rnacentral:rRNA from 1 species
UACAGAGGUCCCAAGCGUUGUUCGGAUUCAUUGGGCGUAAAGGGUGCGUAGGCGGCAGGGUAAGUUGGAUGUGAAAUCCUGGGGCUCAACCUCAGAACUGCAUUCAAUACUGCUUUGCUAGAGUACUGGAGAGGAGAUUGGAAUUCACGGUGUAGCAGUGAAAUGCGUAGAUAUCGUGAGGAAGACCAGUGGCGAAGGCGAAUCUCUGGACAGUUACUGACGCUGAGGCACGAAGGCCAGGGGAGCAAACGGG